GAUUCCCAACGGGACGCAGCAGUGAGGAAUAUUGGUCAAUGGGCGCAAGCCUGAACCAGCCAAGUCGCGUGAGGGAAGACGGCCCUACGGGUUGUAAACCUCUUUUGCCGGGGAGCAAGCCUGAGCACGCGUGCCCAGGCGGAGAGUACCCGGAGAAAAAGCAUCGGCUAACUCCGUGCCAGCAGCCGCGGUAAUACGGAGGAUGCGAGCGUUAUCCGGAUUUAUUGGGUUUAAAGGGUGCGCAGGCGGGCUGGUAAGCCGGCGGUAAAAAUUCAGGGCUCAACCCUGUCGAGCCGUCGGAACUG
rnacentral:rRNA from 1 species